AGUGAACGCUGGCGGUAGGCCUAACACAUGCAAGUCGAACGGCAGCACAGUAAGAGCUUGCUCUUACGGGUGGCGAGUGGCGGACGGGUGAGGAAUACAUCGGAAUCUACUUUUUCGUGGGGGAUAACGUAGGGAAACUUACGCUAAUACCGCAUACGACCUACGGGUGAAAGCAGUGGAUCUUCGGACCUUGCGCGAUUGAAUGAGCCGAUGUCGGAUUAGCUAGUUGGCGGGGUAAAGGCCCACCAAGGCGACGAUCCGUAGCUGGUCUGAGAGGAUGAUCAGCCACACUGGAACUGAGACACGGUCCAGACUCCUACGGGAGGCAGCAGUGGGGAAUAUUGGACAAUGGGCGCAAGCCUGAUCCAGCCAUACCGCGUGGGUGAAGAAGGCCUUCGGGUUGUAAAGCCCUUUUGUUGGGAAAGAAAAGCAGCAGGUUAAUACCCCGCUGUCCUGACGGUACCCAAAGAAUAAGCACCGGCUAACUUCGUG
rnacentral:rRNA from 1 species